CCGAACCCACACCUGUUGAAAAAGGUCGGGAUGAGCUGUGGCUAGGGGUGAAAGGCCAAUCAAACUCGGAGAUAGCUGGUUCUCUGCGAAAUCUAUUUAGGUAGAGCGUCGGACGAAUACCCUCGGGGGUAGAGCACUGGAUGGGUAAUGGGGUCCCACAGACUUACUGAUCCUAACCAAACUCCGAAUACCGAGGAGUACUAUCCGGCAGACACACAGCGGGUGCUAACGUCCGUUGUGGAGAGGGAAACAACCCUGACCGACAGUUAAGGCCCCUAAUUCAUGGCUAAGUGGGAAAGCAGGUGGGACGACCAAAACAACCAGGAGGUUGGCUUAGAAGCAGCCAUCUUUUAAAGAUAGCGUAACAGCUCACUGGUCUAAUCAAGUUGUCCUGCGGCGAAGAUGUAACGGGGCUCAAG
rnacentral:rRNA from 1 species